GUGAGUGUAGCUCAGAUGGUAGAGCGCAGGAUUGUGGCUCCUGUGGCCGAGGGUUCGAUCCCCUUCACUCACCCCA
rnacentral:tRNA from 2 species